rnacentral:rRNA from 1 species
AACGAACGCUGGCGGCGUGCCUAACACAUGCAAGUCGAACGAGAAAGGGGCUUCGGCUCCGAGUAAAGUGGCGCACGGGUGAGUAACACGUGGGUAACCUGCCUCUAAGAUUGGGAUAACUCGUCGAAAGAUGAGCUAAUACCGAAUAAGACCACAGUUCCCGCGGGAACAGGGGUCAAAGGUAGCCUCUGCUUGCAAGCUAUCACUUAGAGAUGGGCCUGCGCACCAUUAGCUAGUUGGUAGGGUAACGGCCUACCAAGGCAAAGAUGGUUAGCUGGUCUGAGAGGAUGAUCAGCCACACUGGGACUGGGACACGGGCCAGACUCCUACGGGAGGCAGCAGGUGGGAAAAUUUCGCAAGUGGCGAAAACUUGACGCAGCAACGCCGCGUGAGUGAUGAAAGCCUUCGGGUCGUAAAGCUCUGUCGGGAAGAACGAAUGCUCCUGAGGUUAACAGCCUCGGGAGGUGACGGUACCUUCAAAGGAAGCACCGGCUAACUCUGUG